GCGUGUUUAUCAAGAAUGAUAGAAACAAGAUUGCGCAAUGCGCAUGUUUGCUUUCAGUCAGCUGUUCUUGCUGACGUCACGGUUGACUUAUUAUUCGCCCGCGCCUUUGAAUGUGAAAGAAAUUUGCAGUUUGAAAUGGGUUUAAGUUCGCCGAGUCUAACGAAGUUGCUACCUAGCGCUUUUCUCACGUUAACCAGAUUAACUCCUGCAGAGGCUAAUGAACGGCAGAAAAGGAUGGAGUCUCGUUUAAACCACUGUUUCUAAUCCUAAUUGCAAUAUUUUUCAACGUGUGUCAGUUGAUCUAUUCUGACCCAAUUGAAAAAAAUGAUGACUUGAAGAUUAUCAACAACGACGAGCUUGAAAAUUUGGCAGGGUACAUCUGCCACAAACUUGGUAAGGACAACCCCGAAAUUUGUGCCAAUUCAGAAAAUUGUUCGUCUUAUACUUGGGUGGAUCACCUAUCUGAAGGAGGACUCUCAAAACCAACAGAUAUGUUCAUGGAGCAUAUGAGAGGCUUGCAAGCAGUAUUUGGCGACUUAAAAGGUACUGAUUUGCAUAUGUAUAUGUACAAAUUACGUCCAGAAGCACUUAGAUUUAAGUAAUUUUGUAAAUUGUAGCACCAAAG